rnacentral:rRNA from 1 species
GACAGAGGGGGCAAGCGUUGCUCGGAAUCACUGGGCGUAAAGGGCGCGUAGGCGGGUAUGGCAAGUCGGGUGUGAAAAUCCGUCGGAGCUUAACUCCGAAACUGCAUUCGAUACUGCCGUGCUUGAGGACGUGGAGGAGGAGACUGGAAUUUACGGUGUAGCGGUGAAAUGCGUAGAUAUCGUAAGGAAGACCAGUGGCGAAGGCGGGUCCUCGUGGGCCGAAAUUGACGCUGAGGAGCGAAAGCGUGGGGAGCAAACAGG